GUAUUGGUGGUUCAGUGGUAGAAUUCUCUCCUUUCAUGUAGGAGACUGGGGUUUGACUCCUGGCCAAUGCA
rnacentral:tRNA from 1 species